GUACUCUGGUGUUGUGGGAUAAUGUGAACCUUUGCCAGAAAUGGUAAAGGGAGUUAUGCAUAGAGCCUGCGAUGCUCUGCCGGCCCCCUCUGACUUCACCUAGACGUGGGUGGAUGGAGCUCCCAGACGUGGGAGACUUCUGUCUGGUGGUCAUUCAGAAAUGGAUGAAUCACAUUCUGUCUGUGGUCCCACUACACCUUCUGUAUGUUUGAUAUGAUAUCCAGAGCUUUGGUUAUAUGUUUCUGUACAUGCUUUGGAUAAGAAUGAUAUGAAUGCAACGUCAAAGACGACGUUUGAGCUUCUGUUUGGUAUUUGUUAUUGAUAUGCUCCGAAAUGUUCCAUACGCCGUUGAUAUGCUCCGGAACAUUUCAUACGCCACUGAUAAGCUCCGAAACAUUUCAUUUGUUAUUUAUAUGCUCCGAAAUGUUUCAUUCAUCGUUGAUAUGCUUCAAAAUGUUCCAUACGCCGUUGAUAUGCUCCAAAACAUUUCAUACGCCAUUGAUAAGCUCCGAAAUAUUUCAUUCAUUGUUGAUAUGCUUCGAAAUGUUCCAUAUGUCGUUGAUAUGCUCCGGAACAUUUCAUACGCCAUUGAUAAGCUCCGAAAUGUUUCAUUUAUUGUUGAUAUGCUUCGAAAUGUUCCAUACGCCGUUGAUAUGCUCCAGAACAUUUCAUACGUCAUUGAUAAGCUCCGAAAUGUUUCAUUUGUUAUUGGUAUGCUCCGAAACGUUUCAUUCGUUGUUGAUAUGCUCCAAUUACUCUAUGCUCCAUCUGUUAUGAACCAAAUAUGUUUGAUUAAAAUGUCAUUUGUGAUUUUGCAUCUAAUGAUAUUACGUCUAUGAAUUCUUAUAUUCUGCCUUGCAUUUUGAUACUUUAUCUCUUUGGAAAUUGUCCUAUUUUGACAUGGAUAUGUUAGUCACUUGCUGAGCUUUAUAUGCUCACCCCAUUGUUGUAUAAAUUUUUCAGGAUAGCUUGUCGCUUGCUUAAAUGUUAAGAUUGGGCUAAGGUAGUGGAAAGCUAAAAGAUUUUGGGCAGAUCUUUAUUAGUAUAUAUGUUUUUGUUGUAUAAGUACACUCUGCAUCUAAUGAAAUGUUGACGAUGAAUCUAAACUUGUGGAUGUUGUAUAAGUUUAAAGGACCUCUCAUGUUUAGGAUUCUGGAAUGUUAAGUUUCAUUUGUGUAACGAUAUGAACUUAUGGUAAACGUUGGUUUUGUGACUGUAUAGACCCCCACACUUGUGAAUUUAUGUUGUGGUUAUUAAUUUGAUGAGUUGGGUUCAGAUUUUAUGAAUCAUCGAGCAAUGUGUUGUAUAUUUAUAAACUGCGCAGGUUUUAUAGAUAUGAAUUUGAUAUAAUGUUUUUCAGUGUCCUCAAAUGUUAGUUUGGAUCCUGGAUUGAUUUGUUUUCUUGAAUUUUAAUAUUAUCGAUAUUAUUUGAGGGGGCGUGACAGAGGUGGUAUCAGAGCAUGGUUUGAAGAUCACUGAAAUAUUUGAUUUGUUGACGUGCAAAAUAUAUUAAGGCCUAAUGUAUUAUAGUGAUUGGUGAAAAUUUUCUUUGAUGCAUUUUAGGAAUCUAGGAUAAUGAGGACGUUUGGUCCUCCUAUUUCAUUUGGUUCUGAUUAAUUAAGGGGGAUGAAAGGGUGGAUCGAAGAUACUAAAUCAGAGUAGCGCAAUGAAAGCAUGGUAGACCUAAUUUCAUUGGUGGUAGAAAAAUGGAUGAUGCGAAUGGAAAAGAUAUUUGAUGUACGAAAUUAUUUCGAUGAUCAAAAAGAUUUCUUUUGCCACCUUAUAUUGGAAGUAGAGACUAAUUAUUAAUGGCAACAAUGAAAAGAAUUUUUGAAGAUUUGUGGCAAGAAUGAUAAGGAUAAGUUUACCAAUAAAAAUAUGAUUGGAAAUGAAUCAAAAAGUAAUAACAAAAGGGUCAAGACAUUUGGAUUUGAAAUGGGAAGUCACCACAAAAGACUUAAUCAUGUGUGAAUUACAAGUUGACUUAUGAAAUAAAUUUGUGUUUUCGGGUGACUGGAGUCUAUUUUGCUUGUAGAAAGUUGUAUCAUAAAAUAAAAGACUGCCCUUUGAACAAGAAGAAAGAGUCACUGCCUCAUAAAUCAUCAGCUCAUGUCAGAAUGUAUGCUAUCACUGAAUAUGAUUCUAAAACUUCUGAAUUUGUAGUCGAAGGUAUUAUGCAUGUUUAUGAAAGUAUGCAAAUAUUUGUUUGGCCAUGGGUCCUAUCUACGAUUUGAUUCGUAAUAUUUUGCUUGUCACUUGGGCAUUCAACCUAGACCACUACAUUAUGUGGUAUAUGUAAAGUACAAUCAUUGGAGAUUCUUUGAUAACGAACAUGAAUCUAGUCCUCUUGUCUGAUUUUAUUGGAGAACUUGAACUUUUUGCUGAUUUAGUUCUCCUAAAGAUUUGGAGUUUGAUAUUAUACUUGGCAUGGAUUGGUUAUCUUCUCAUCAUGCUAGUAUUGAUUGUUACAAAAAAAUAAUUACUUUCUGCAUAUCAGAUCAGCCUAUAUUUUACUUUGAGGGCACUAGGCAUGAUUUGCCUCCUUGCUUGAUGUCAGCACUUCAAGCUUAUCGUCUUAUGCAGAAGGGUUGUUUCUAUUAUAUGGUGUGUGUAAAGGAGCAUUCAAAUCAGGAAACCCAUCUAGAUGAAAUUUUAAUGGUCAAAGAGUUCCCUAAUGUAUUCCCAGAUGACUUGCCUUGUUUACCUCUAGAUAGAGAGGGUAAAAUUGCUAUUGAUCUAGUCCCUAGUACAACCCCAAUAUCUAAGCCUCCCUACAGAAUGGCACCACUCGAGCUAGAGGAAUUAAAGAAGCUACUACAAGAAUUAUUAGAUAAGGGUUUCAUACGACCCAGCGUAUCUCCAUGGGGUGCUCUGGUACUAUUAGUGAAGAAGAAGGAUGGAACACUAAGGCUUUGUAUUGAUUAUAGAUAGUUGAAUCAGGUGAGCAUCAAAAAUAAGUAUCCCAUACCCAGAAUUGAUGAUUUGUUUGAUCAACUGUAGGGUGCACAAGUAUUCUCUAAGAUUGACCUGAGGUAAGGUUACUAUCAGUUGAAGAUCAAGGAGGAGGAUAUUCCAAAAACAGUUUUCAAAACUCGAUAUGGUCACUAUGAAUUCUUGGUGAUGCCUUUUGGUUUGACUAAUGCCCUUGCAGCUUUUAUGGAACUAAUGAAUAGGAUAUUUCAACCGCUCUUGGAUGGCUAUGUAAUUGUAUUUAUUGAUGACAUAUUGGUGUAUUCAAGGAGUAAUCAGGAGCAUGAGGAACACUUGAGAAAUGUAUUGUCGAUACUAAGAGAAAAGAAGUUGUAUGCAAAGUUCAGCAAAUAUGAAUUGUGGUUGAAUGAAGUUGCUUUCUUAGGCCAUGUGAUUUCAGGGAAGGGUAUAUCUGUUGAUCCAAAGAAAAUAGAAGCUAUAGUUGAAUGGGAAGUACCAACAAAUGUAAUAGAAAUUAGAAGCUUCUUGGGCAUGGCAGGUUAUUACAAGAGAUUUGUGGAGGGAUUUUCUUGAAUCGCUCAACCUCUCACCAAACUCACUAAAAAGAAUGUGAAAUUUGUAUGGGGUCAUGAUUGUGAGCAAAGUUUUCAAGAGUUAAAAAGAAGAUUGACUAGUGCUCCUAUUCUCACUAUUCCAAGUGGUAGUGAGGGAUUUGUAGUUUAUAUUGAUGUUUCAAGAAAGGGCCUUGGAUGUGUUUUGAUGCAGGAAGGGAGAGUGAUUGCUUAUGCUUCUAGGCAACUAAAAGGUUAUGAAUUGAAUUAUCCAACUCAUGAUUUGGAAUUGGCGGCAAUUAUUUUUGCUCUAAAGAUUUGGAGACAUUAUUUGUAUGGUCGACAAUUUGAAAUCUUUACUAAUCACAAGAGUUUAAAAUAUAUUUUCACUCAGAAAGAGUUAAACAUGAGACAACGAAGAUGGAUAGAACUUCUGAAGGAUUAUGAUUGUGCCAUCCGUUAUCACCCGGGCAAAGCCAAUGUUAUAGCUGAGCACUUAGUAGAAAAUCUACAAGUUUUAUGGCUAGUCUGGUCAUGAAGCAAUGGAAGUUAUUAGAAGAAAAUUUUGAUUUGAAAGCUUUAAGGAAAGAGCAAGACUCAAUGAUAUUGAUGGCCUCCAUUCAAGUGCAAUCUAAUUUUAUUCAACAAAUUAAGGAUAAUUAUGAGAUUGACAUUUAAUCUACUUGAGGAAUGAAGUAGAAAAGGAAUUGAAGCCAAAAUUUCAAGUUUCAAAGGAUGGCCUAUUGAGAUUUAGGGAGAGAGUAUAUGUACCAAAUGAACCAGAUAUCAACAAUCAAAUCCUAAAGGAAAGUCAUACUUCAAAGUACACCAUGCAUCCUGGGAGCUAGAGGUAUGAUAAAUUUAGAGUACUAAAUUUUUCUUUUAAGGGGGGGAGAGUGUAACAUCCCUCAUUUCUGAAUUUUCGUAUAAAUUUCUAGUUGUAAUAUAAGUAUCUAUUUUAAAUUUAAUAAAAAGUAAAAGUAUGAAUCUGUGAACUUAUUCAUAAGAUUUGGAGGAUUUGUUAAAAAAAAAAAAAAAUCUGAGAACCUAUUUGUAAACCCUGAGAACCUAAUCGUAAACAUAAUAAUACAAGGACUAAACUGCAAAAUGCAUAAAAUUACAAAUUCCACCGUUUAAGCCUCUCUGCCUUCGUUCAUAAGGAACCAGGCAGCUGCGUGGAAGAACAGGAGAAAGAAAGAAGGAAGAAGAGAAGAAAAAGGGGGAAGAAGAAGAAGAAAAAAAUUUGGGGCUUUGAGGUUUCUUGCUCAAAUCUUCUCAUUUAGGGUCAUAAUUCUCAAAGGCAAGUAUUCUAAUCUCAUCCUACAGAAAUAUUAGUCUUUAAUCUCAUAUUUAUUCUGAAUUAUUCGAAAGAUUUAAGCCUAGAACCUGAUAUUUCUCUUGUUAGAUACAAAAAUCAUGGAUCUGAAAUUUUUUGGUAAACUGACCACUAUAUAUUGUUUCAGCCAUAAUUUUUAGUACCAAACAUUGUUUAUUUGAAAGUAGACUCUUAUACCUUCAUUUUCGCACUGAUUUUGAAAAUUUUGGACUCCGAAUACUUACCCAAACGUCUGUUUCAAUUGAGCCUAUGGAUGCUGCAAAACAGGGAUCAAAAUUUCUGACCUUUUGAUACUAAAAUGCCAAUAAGUCCCUGUUGUAUAUUCUGAAUUGUACCAAAUUGAUUUCAUUUGAAACUAGGCUUUAAAACCUUUCUUUUGAUAUAUAGACUGAAAAUUUUGGAAUUCAAAUGCCUAUUCUGCUAUCUAUUGAUUCUGCCCUAUGGAUUCUGCAAAACAGUGAUUUAGUUUUUUGACCUUCGGUCACUAAAUCAAUGGUAACUCCUUGUUGGAAACCUUGAUUCAUAUGAAACUUAUUUCAUCAGAAAAUAGAUUGAUUUAUCUUUCGACAGUAGCUUUCUUAAGGGUAUUGGAGUAUAAUUGAUAAUCUGAAGUAUUUGUUCAAUGUGCCUCUUGAAUCCUGACAGAAUCGAGCUUUAGUCGAUUUCGCAUAUUCUGUUUCAUUCAUUUGGAAAUAGAUUCCAUGCAGUCCCCUUCGCUUAAUUGAGGCUUAUGGUAGUGCUUGAAUUCUGGUUUGCUCUUGCCUAUAAAUUAUUUACAUUCUUGAAACAUUUUUGUGUAACGUUUAUGCUAUAUCGCAUUGACACAUAUAGGCACAUGUAUAUCCCAUUGUUCCGUAUUUGCUUUCGAUAUAUGUCUAUUCUAGUUUCAUCCCUUUGGAUAUUGAAUUCAUCUAACCUUCUUAUUUGAAUUGAGCUACAUAUGAUUGCUUGGAAUCCUGGUAUACUCUUGCUUUCAUUUCAUUCCAAAUCUGAAUACAUUUGUGAGAGAUUGUUGCUUGCAUCGUAUUGACUCGUAAAGGCACAUGUACGUUUUGUUGUUCCGCGUGUGCUUCCGAUAUAUACUAAUCAUUGUUCAUACUGCCCUUUUGUACUCUGGUGUUGUGGGAUAAUGUGAACCUUUGCCAGAAAUGGUAAAGGGAGUUAUGCAUAGAGCCUGCGAUGCUCUGCCGGCCCCGUCUGACUUCACCUAGACGUGGGUGGAUGGAGCUCCCAGACGUGGGAGACUUCUGUCUGGUGGUCAUUCAGAAAUGGAUGAAUCACAUUCUGUCUGUGGUCCCACUACACCUUCUGUAUGUUUGAUAUGAUAUCCAGAGCUUUGGUUAUGUGUUUCUAUACAUGCUUUGGAUAAGAAUGAUAUGAAUGCAACGUCAAAGACGACGUUUGAGCUUAUGUUUGGUAUUUGUUAUUGAUAUGCUCUGAAAUGUUCCAUACGCCGUUGAUAUGCUCCGGAACAUUUCAUACGCCACUGAUA
rnacentral:lncRNA from 1 species